AUGUUGAAACGUUCAGUUUCUAGGUUAGUUUGGUGCUGGUUGCAGAGUUACCCAGAACAGCCCGCAAUUCGCAGAGGGCGGUCGCAGCGCUACUCUGCCGCAAACAUGGUUCUCCAGAUUGAAGUAUCGUACUGUUCUUCCUGAGGUUACCGGAGCCGGUUUAAUAGCCUCAAGCAGAAACUUGAAGAUGUGUUUCCUAACGAACUAGACAUCUUCGGGACACCAGUUUCUGGAAACACUGGCUGCUUUGAGGUUAAAAUAAAGAAGUCCGGCAAACUUCUUCAUUCUAAGCUGGGUGGUGAGGGCCAUGUUGAAGAAAUACAUCUUAAGAAGAUAAUCAAAGGAAUCGAAGCAGCCCUUGGAAAGUAACAAUAUGAUUCUCAAGUAAUUCUCAAGUUAAACAUGCAUUUAAUUUGUCUGCUGUGGCUGAACACUUAAUGACGGAGACAGCUGAAAUGUCUGUGAAGGCACGGCUGUUACCAGAUGUCCACGUGAAAGGCUCCAGUGACCAGGUUUUAUGGAGUUUUGACUUGAGUGAAUUUUCAUCAAGCAAGUCCUUUUGUUUUUACUCCUCCUCCUUGUGCCCCCCCCCCACCUCCUCCAGGGCUUCUAAGUAACUUCUUCCUACAGUGCUGCAUUGCAAGAAUGCACAACCCUAACCAAUGGAAAGGUCGCAUAUUUUCUGCAACCUUGUGGUAUUUGAUUAGGGCUCCCUUCUCCACUAUGCAACUGGUCAAUGUUUGCACUCUAGAUCUAUCUACCAGCUGUCCACCUUAAACUAUAUGGCAUUGUACUCACAUCCUGGCAAAGAGGUAAUUUUCAAGAUCUGUCCUAACGAAUCUAACUUCAGCUUGGUGGUGCAUGGCAUAGACAAAUUAAGAACAGAAAUAUUUAAGUUAGUAAAACACCAAGCCUGUUGUUUUAAGUGAACCUACCUUGUAUUGGCAAAAUUAAAUGCUAUGAUUAUGUUCCUCCUUAAUGAUUACAUCAGUUUUGACCAUCGUAAAAUAUAGGAGCUAAAUUAGCCCAUUUGAUGAGAUAAGUGAAAACAGUAACAUUACUUCCCCUUGUAACAGAUGCAGAUUGCACACUUGCUUAUAAACUAUUAUUCCAAAAGAAAUGCUGCGUAUAUUGGAAAAUUCUUAAUGACAAGCUACUAAGCAGGUCUGACAUGAUGUUUCAGAUUGCAGACUUGUUAUUUUGAGAUUUUAAUGGUAUUACCUUGCCUCCUGAGUAUUUCUGCCACUUUUGAAUUCAUCUUAUCCUGGGUGAUCUCAAAUGUAUCAAUUUUACUGAUGUAGUACUGCAAUAAAAUCAAUGACAAUC